UACGUAGGGUGCAAGCGUUUGUCCGGAAUUAUUGGGCGUAAAGAGCUCGUAGGCGGUCUGUCGCGUCUGCUGUGAAAUCCCGAGGCUCAACCUCGGGCUUGCGGUGGGUACGGGCAGGCUAGAGUGCGGUAGGGGAGAAUGGAACUCCUGGUGUAGCGGUGGAAUGCGCAGAUAUCAGGAAGAACACCGAUGGCGAAGGCAGUUCUCUGGGCCGUAACUGACGCUGAGGAGCGAAAGCGUGGGGAGCGAACAGG
rnacentral:rRNA from 1 species